UAAUCACGUCAAGCGGACAUGGAGCGCAUCCCACUCCCACACCACGCCACCCUUUGUCUUCUCAAACUACAACUUGAGCCGUUUAAACUUUUUAAAAUCAAAGCAGUUCGGCCAGAUUUGCAUACCACUGCACCAGCUCAGAGUGCACGUUAAUGGCAUGCCGGGGAGCGUCUGUGACUGGAGCUGACGGUGGACGGAAAACAGACCCUCUCUCCCACGCCGCGUUUCACCACCGCACCUGAACUUUUUCCUGACCCAAGCCGAGGCCCAGAGAGUCGAGUGUGAAGUUAUUUGGGGUCAAAAACAAGGAGAGGAUGGAGACUACACAACCAAUUACGAACAUAGCUAAACCCCCGUUUUCAGCUGGGAGAGUUUUGGAUACUUUUUAGGAUGGGUGUUUGUUGUUUUCAGCAGUUUCAAGUUUAAAAGUUUAUUCGCCACUGCGCAGGAUUCAACAGGUGUAAAACAGUAGAGUGGAAUUCUUGAUUUGAGAGCUAGUUCCAAUAAUCAGUGAUAAUACUAUAGAAAAUAACCGAACAUAUAAUACAAAAUACAAUCAAGAAUAAAAACCACACAAGAUGUUUAGCCUAUUACAGCAUUUGGUUAGUUUCUUUGUUUAUACUUUUUCUGAGUUAGUUCUUCAGGUAUAUCAAACUCCCAACAUUCCCCGGCCGCCAAGAGGACUUGGGAGCUGUAGACCUCUCCACACCCUCUCUCUUUGGGUGUUCGCCAGACGGUGGUGGCUAUAGGCUACAUAUCUCCCCACAAUGUUGACAUUUGAAGCUCUUAACAGCGAGCCUUGGGUUACCGAUACACUCAGCAGAAGAUAACUCUUUCUCAGGGGUUUACAUUGACCAACAUCAAGGCUAAUGCGAAAUUCAACGCCUUAAGCUGGCUUGGCGUCCAAGCUAAGACAAAGAAGCCUCGGUGGAUCUCGCUAUACACGACUACACGGACUGACUUCUGUUCUGCUGGUUUGUUUCAGUACGUAUUGUAGAAAUAAAAUUGUAUUAAUGUUGACUUUUUGUUGUAAUACUUUUAAAUGUAUUUCAAUUGCCACUUUUGAUAAGUUAACGUUAUAUUUAGUGCUUUGAAGAGCUGAUUAUAAACAUUUUAGGGUAAGAACAAGAGACUAAACUUCCUAAUUUGACCUCAGAGCAAUAAUAAUGCUGUAUAAUAAUAAUAAUAACAAUAAUAAUAAUAUUAACAAUAAUAGUAGGCCUACACAUUACCAAUGGUACAUUUAAUUUAACUAGCCUCUGGCAAGCUAAAACUAAAACUAACCGCUCAAAGUCAUUUUGAACAUAUUUAUAGACUUAUCGUUAUUACACAUUUUAUAUUGUAUGCUACAUUAAUGUUCAAUAACAGCCUUAUAGCCUAAAGUCAGUCUUUCGUGGACAGGAUGGUGAUCUGUUAAUGUUUAACUUAGUUCUUGAUUGUUCUUUGUCCCUUCUCUGUUUAAGGCGCCCAUUCAACAAUGUGGACAACUCAUUCAUGCACAAUAGCCUGAUAUUUGCCUUCUAAAACUUUGCAUGUGUGGCUCACAAGACCAGACAUGGGUUAACAUGCACAUAAAUUGUUAAUAAAAAUUUAUUUUUACAAAAUA